CGGUGUUUAACUGGCGUGAUGUGGGACGUCCUACCGGUGGGCUUAGCCUCGCGAGGGGCGGCCCAACUAAUAUCCCGUCGCGGUGCUCUUUACUGAGUGUCGAGUCGGGCCGGUACGUUUACUUUGAACAAAUUAGAGUGCUUAAAGCAGGCUAUCCUCGCCUGAAUACUGCGUGCAUGGAAUAAUGGAAUAGGACCUCGGUUCUAUUUUGUUGGUUUUCGGAACCCCGAGGUAAUGAUUAAUAGGGACAGAUGGGGGCAUUCGUAUUGCGACGUUAGAGGUGAAAUUCUUGGAUCGUCGCAAGACGGACAGAAGCGAAAGCAUUUGCCAAAAAUGUUUUCAUUAAUCAAGAACGAAAGUUAGAGGUUCGAAGGCGAUCAGAUACCGCCCUAGUUCUAACCAUAAACGAUGCCAGCUAGCGAUCCGCCGAAGUUCCUCCGAUGACUCGGCGGGCAGCUUCCGGGAAACCAAAGCUUUUGGGUUCCGGGGGAAGUAUGGUUGCAAAGCUGAAACUUAAAGGAAUUGACGGAAGGGCACCACCAGGAGUGGAGCCUGCGGCUUAAUUUGACUCAACACGGGAAACCUCACCAGGCCCAGACACCGGAAGGAUUGACAGAUUGAUAGCUCUUUCUUGAUUCGGUGGGUGGUGGUGCAUGGCCGUUCUUAGUUGGUGGAGCGAUUUGUCUGGUUAAUUCCGAUAACGAACGAGACUCUAGUCUGCUAAAUAGGCGUACCUUAUGGUAUCGCGAAGGCCCCCGGCUUCGGCCGGUGGGUUUUUACUACCAACGUACAAACAAAUCUUCUUAGAGGGACAGGCGG
rnacentral:rRNA from 1 species